rnacentral:rRNA from 2 species
ACACGGCCCAGACUCCUACGGGAGGCAGCAGUGGGGAAUAUUGCACAAUGGGCGAAAGCCUGAUGCAGCGACGCCGCGUGAGGGAUGACGGCCUUCGGGUUGUAAACCUCUUUCAGCAGGGAAGAAGCGAAAGUGACGGUACCUGCAGAAGAAGCGCCGGCUAACUACGUGCCAGCAGCCGCGGUAAUACGUAGGGCGCGAGCGUUGUCCGGAAUUAUUGGGCGUAAAGAGCUCGUAGGCGGCUUGUCACGUCGGUUGUGAAAGCCCGGGGCUUAACCCCGGGUCUGCAGUCGAUACGGGCAGGCUAGAGUUCGGUAGGGGAGAUCGGAAUUCCUGGUGUAGCGGUGAAAUGCGCAGAUAUCAGGAGGAACACCGGUGGCGAAGGCGGAUCUCUGGGCCGAUACUGACGCUGAGGAGCGAAAGCGUGGGGAGCGAACAGGAUUAGAUACCCUGGUAGUCCACGCCGUAAACGGUGGGCACUAGGUGUGGGCGACAUUCCACGUCGUCCGUGCCGCAGCUAACGCAUUAAGUGCCCCGCCUGGGGAGUACGGCCGCAAGGCUAAAACUCAAAGGAAUUGACGGGGGCCCGCACAAGCGGCGGAGCAUGUGGCUUAAUUCGACGCAACGCGAAGAACCUUACCAAGGCUUGACAUACACCGG